UAGCCAUAUCUCGUUGAAACACCCGUUCUGGUACGAUCACCGAAGUUAAGCAACGUCGAGCCUGGUCAGUAACUAGAUGGGUGAUUGCUUGAGAAUAACACAUGCUGUAAG